CGGCGGACGGGUGAGUAACACGUGGAUAACCUACCUAUAAGACUGGGAUAACUUCGGGAAACCGGAGCUAAUACCGGAUAAUAUAUUGAACCGCAUGGUUCAAUGGUGAAAGACGGUUUUGCUGUCACUUAUAGAUGGAUCCGCGCCGCAUUAGCUAGUUGGUAAGGUAACGGCUUACCAAGGCAACGAUGCGUAGCCGACCUGAGAGGGUGAUCGGCCACACUGGAACUGAGACACGGUCCGGACUCCUACGGGAGGCAGCAGUC
rnacentral:rRNA from 1 species